AGCACUUGUGUGUCUCUUUGUUUAAUUUGUGGCAAAGCCUUACAGAUACGUGCAAACAGUAAAUCCUCUUUUGCAACUCAGACCCCAUUGUUGAGUAUGAGAUUUUUGUACACGUAAGAAGGAAUGAU